rnacentral:rRNA from 1 species
UACAGAGGGUGCAAGCGUUAAUCGGAAUUACUGGGCGUAAAGCGUGCGCAGACGGUUGCGUAAGUCAGAUGUGAAAGCCCCGGGCUCAACCUGGGAAUUGCAUUUGAGACUGCGUAGCUAGGGUGCGGAAGAGGGAAGCGGAAUUUCCGGUGUAGCGGUGAAAUGCGUAGAUAUUGGGAGGAACACCAGUGGCGAAGGCGGCUACCUGGACCGGUUCUGACGCUGAGGCGCGAAAGCGUGGGUAGCAAACAGG